AUUGAACGCUGGCGGCAUGCUUUACACAUGCAAGUCGAACGGUAACAGGGUGCUUGCACCGCUGACGAGUGGCGAACGGGUGAGUAAUGCGUCGGAACGUGCCGAGUAGUGGGGGAUAACGCAGCGAAAGUUGUGCUAAUACCGCAUACGUACUGAGGUAGAAAGUGGGGGACCUUCGGGCCUCACGCUAUUCGAGCGGCCGACGUCUGAUUAGCUAGUAGGUGAGGUAAAGGCUCACCUAGGCGACGAUCAGUAGCGGGUCUGAGAGGAUGAUCCGGCACACUGGGACUGAGACACGGCCCAGACUCCGACGGGAGGCAGCAGUGGGGAAUUUUGGACAAUGGGCGAAAGCCUGAUCCAGCCAUGCCGCGUGUCUGAAGAAGGCCUUCGGGUUGUAAAGGACUUUUGUCGGGGAGGAAAUCCCCAGCGUUAAUACCGCUGGGGGAUGACAGUACCUGAAGAAUAAGCACCGGCUAACUACGUGCCAGCAGCCGCGGUAAAAC
rnacentral:rRNA from 1 species